UACGAAGGUCCCAAGCGUUGUUCGGAAUCACUGGGCGUAAAGCGCGCGUAGGCGGCGAACCAAGUCAGGGGUGAAAUCCCGGGGCUCAACCCCGGAACUGCCUUUGAAACUAGUUUGCUAGAAUCUUGGAGAGGUCAGUGGAAUUCCGAGUGUAGAGGUGAAAUUCGUAGAUAUUCGGAAGAACACCAGUGGCGAAGGCGACUGACUGGACAAGUAUUGACGCUGAGGUGCGAAAGCGUGGGGAGCAAACAGG
rnacentral:rRNA from 1 species